GUGAGGAAUAUUGCGCAAUGGAGGCAACUCUGACGCAGCCAUGCCGCGUGCAGGAAGAAGGCGCUACGCGUUGUAAACUGCUUUUAACCGGGAAGAAACCCCAGGACGUGUCCUGGGUUGACGGUACCGGAGGAAUAAGCACCGGCUAACUUCGUGCCAGCAGCCGCGGUAAUACGAAGGGUGCAAGCGUUAUCCGGAUUCAUUGGGUUUAAAGGGUGCGUAGGCGGAGCGUUAAGUCAGUGGUGAAAUCCUGCAGCUUAACUGUAGACUUGCCAUGGAUACUGGCGCUCUUGAGUGCGCUUGAAGUGGGCGGAAUGUGCCGUGUAGCGGUGAAAUGCUUAGAUAUGGCACAGAACACCAAUUGCGAAGGCAGCUCACUAAGGCGAUACUGACGCUGAGGCACGAAAGCGUGGGGAUCGAACAGGAUUAGAAACCCGGGUAGUCC
rnacentral:rRNA from 1 species